UUGUUUCUCUCUUCAGAACAUCUUCUUUUCUCACCAACAUAAGACAGAGAUGACCUGUUCUACUAUGAGAUAAACUCAGUUGCUGUUCUGUUGCAAUGGUCAAGACUCGUCAGAAUCUACAGUCUCUUUCCUGGAAAGAUGGAUAAGGAAUACAGAGGGAAGUUAAAGAACUGGGACAAAGGAAAGGAAACCCUGGCCAGACUCAGUUCUCUUGGCGAACAUAUGUACUUGAAGCGGCUUUGUACUGAGUCAAACCAAUGAUCCAUUUAGCUCAGUAUCCUUUACAAUGGCCCACUCCACGUGUAACGUUAAGCCAAAGCAGCAUUCAAGACAUGUACUGAGGUAUGCAUGUGAUCUCAGACAAUCAACACUCUCUGCUUCAGCCCCCCUCCCCCGCCAUCUCCAACAUGGGGGCUAAUGAGGAUUUUAUAGCAUGCAAUACUGGUUCCUCUGUCAAGCCAAGGCUUUUCUCCACAGAACUUCAGCUCUUAUAGAUGCCAACAUUAAGGAGACACAAAAGCAGUGACCAUCAAGUUUAAGGAGAAAAUGUUAAGGGUUCAAUCCAAUCAAAGAUCAAGCACUUUUAUGUCAAUGGGAGUCAUGUGCUUAAAUUGUUAACUGAAGUAAAUGGGGCACUAGAAGUGUUAAAUUUGGGUGGAUAAUGCACACUAUAAAGGACAAUUUAAAAUGUUUAUUUUUAAUGAUCACCAGUUGCAGAACACAAUAAAGAAGGGUAGAAGCAGCAAGGAAAGAGUGCUUGUACCAGAGGCUCAGCUUCAUUCACUUCCUUGCCCCAGAAGACCUGUUGCUUGCUCAGCCCCUCAUUAGCCUCAGAGGACCUUGGUGAGAGCUGUUACCUGGCAACUGUCUGCAAAGGAAGACUGCUUCCAUCAUAGGCUGAACCAGUUCGCGCUGCUCAGCCCUACUCCCCUUGCCUCAGAGGAUUCUGGUGGGAGCUGCUGCCUAGUAUGAUACUAAGGGAGGACAACGAUGAGGGCAGAAAAUGCCACCUGAAUAUUCCUAGUUCUAUAUGGAUACCUUGCAAUUUCUGUUCCUGUACUGCAUUUGAGUGUUAUUUUAUUUUUGUGAAUAUUUUGAAAGUUGCUUUGAGAGUCUCUCAUGGCUAUAAAGUGAGAUAUAAGUAUUCUAAUUAAAUAAAGUUGCUGUAUA